AUUGAACGCUGGCGGCAGGCUUAACACAUGCAAGUCGAGCGCCCCGCAAGGGGAGCGGCGGACGGGUGAGUAACACGUGGGAACGUACCCUUUGGUUCGGAACAACCCAGGGAAACUUGGGCUAAUACCGGGUAAGUCCGCGAGGAGAAAGAUUUAUCGCCGAAGGAUCGGCCCGCGUCUGAUUAGCUAGUUGGUGUGGUAACGGCGCACCAAGGCGACGAUCAGUAGCUGGUCUGAGAGGAUGAUCAGCCACACUGGGACUGAGACACGGCCCAGACUCCUACGGGAGGCAGCAGUGGGGAAUAUUGGACAAUGGGGGCAACCCUGAUCCAGCCAUGCCGCGUGAGUGAUGAAGGCCCUAGGGUUGUAAAGCUCUUUCGGUGGGGAAGAUAAUGACGGUACCCACAGAAGAAGCCCCGGCUAACUUCGUGCCAGCCGCCGCCGUAAGAC
rnacentral:rRNA from 1 species